CGUUCUUGUGUUCAAAUUACCGUCAGUGCGAAAUUGCUAGAAAGCUUUCGUAUUUCCACUUGGCUGCACCUACGGUUAUGAGAACGAUAAAUCAAGUGCAAUACCUGCGUCGACCUGUGAUGAGCAGCAAAACACCGGAAAGCUUCACGGCUACCGGAAAGUUACAAGAAGAACAAGAAUGGUUACCUCAUCCGGCCAUGUGACAUUUGUUGUUUAUCGAUUUUUCGCCCACACCAGACGUGUGGACCCUGGACAGAUAACAGGACAGAGGGACAAUAGGAGGGACGUAAAGGAGUUGAUGAAAUCCUGCUAAGACAGACAAUCAGG